rnacentral:rRNA from 1 species
AUGAUGGUACCCGUGGGAGAGCCAGGCUCCGCCCCCGCCGGCCGCCCGGUGCUCCUCCAGCCAGGCUCCGCCCCCGCCGGCCGCCAGGAGCCCUUCACGCCAGCCGCCGUCGUCCGCCCCUCCCGUGGUCGUCCGCUCCUCCUGUGGUCGUCCGCUCCUCCCGCCAGGACUCGCGCUCGUGCAGCAGGGCCUCUGACCGCCGUUCGCUCGUGGUCCUCCUGCUGUCUGCUGCGCCGGAUCUCGCUCCCAGCCGCCGUCCUCGUCCGGCCUCUGCUAUUUUCGGAUCUUUGCAAAAAAACCAUGUCUACUGCAUCAGGCUACGUUGCUGUCCCUCGCUGUCCGGUGAUCUUCCAUGGUACCAACUACACCGUGUUCGCUGGCUUCAUGUGCAUUCACAUGCGUGGCAUUCGUCUCUGGGGUGUUCUUUCUGGCGAGGUCUGCUGUCCGCCACGUCCGGUCCCUCCGGUGGCCCCUACUCCGCCGACUUCCCUGGUUCUUCCUCCGGAUGCUGCUCAGGCCGCCAAGGAUGCGGCUAAGAUUGCUGAUGAGGCUGCUGAUCGUGCCUAUGAUGAGAGGGCUUUGGCUUAUGAGGAGGUUCUUCAGACGUAUCAUGGUGCUUUGUCUGUUUACACCCAGUGGCUUGAUGAUGAUGCUCGUGCUGCAGCUGUUCUCACUGCUAGUGUUCUGCCUCAGUUUGCUUCUGAGUUUCUGGGUCUUCCUACUGUCUCCCAGAUGUGGACCUGUCUUCGUCAGCGCUAUGAGCCCUCUGGUGAUGCCUUAUACCUUUCUGUGAGUUCUGCUAUCUGGCGCCAGCUUGAUUCUCUCCGCAGUGCUGGUUGUCGUACUUGCCCCUGCUGCCAGGCUGUCCAGGCCGAUUUGGAGUUUCAUCGCGUCUACGAGUUCCUGUCUCGGCUCCGUAAGGAGUUUGAGCCUCGGCGUGCUCAGUUGCUUGCUCGUGGCCGUAUUUCUCUCAUGGAGGCGCUUUCAGAGAUUCGUGCUGAGGAGACUCGCCUCCGUGGUGCUGGUUUGCUGGAGGUUCCCUCUGUGCUCGCUACUCGGGUUUCUUCCACUCCGCCGGCUGCACCGCCCCAUUCUCGCUCGAGUGCUCCGCCGCUCUUGCCCACUCCUUCUGGAGGCUCAGGUCGCCCCCGUUCACAUUGUGACUAUUGCAACAAUGAUGGUCAUAUUGAGUCCCAGUGCUACACCAAGCGGAAACACCUGCGCAAGGCGCGAUCAUCCUCCUCAGGGACUUCGUGA